AGAGUUUGAUCCUGGCUCAGAACGAACGCUGGCGGCAGGCCUAACACAUGCAAGUCGAGCGCGCCCUUCGGGGUGAGCGGCGGACGGGUUAGUAACGCGUGGGAACGUGCCCAGAUCUAAGGAAUAGCCACUGGAAACGGUGAGUAAUACCUUAUACGCCCUUCGGGGGAAAGAUUUAUCGGAUUUGGAUCGGCCCGCGUUAGAUUAGGUAGUUGGUGGGGUAAUGGCCUACCAAGCCUACGAUCUAUAGCUGGUUUUAGAGGAUGAUCAGCAACACUGGGACUGAGACACGGCCCAGACUCCUACGGGAGGCAGCAGUGGGGAAUCUUGGACAAUGGGGGCAACCCUGAUCCAGCCAUGCCGCGUGAGUGAUGAAGGCCUUAGGGUCGUAAAGCUCUUUCGCCUGUGAUGAUAAUGACAGUAGCAGGUAAAGAAACCCCGGCUAACUCCGUGCCGGCAGCCGCGGUAAUACGGAGGGGGUUAGCGUUGUUCGGAAUUACUGGGCGUAAAGCGCGCGUAGGCGGAUUAGUCAGUUAGAGGUGAAAUCCCAGGGCUCAACCCUGGAACUGCCUUUAAUACUGCUAGUCUUGAGUUCGAGAGAGGUGAGUGGAAUUCCGAGUGUAGAGGUGAAAUUCGUAGAUAUUCGGAGGAACACCAGUGGCGAAGGCGGCUCACUGGCUCGAUACUGACGCUGAGGUGCGAAAGUGUGGGGAGCAAACAGGAUUAGAUACCCUGGUAGUCCACACCGUAAACGAUGAAUGCCAGUCGUCGGCAAGCAUGCUUGUCGGUGACACACCUAACGGAUUAAGCAUUCCGCCUGGGGAGUACGGUCGCAAGAUUAAAACUUAAAGGAAUUGACGG
rnacentral:rRNA from 1 species